AUGAAGAGAAAGGAGCUGAUCAUGAACGUUAUUUUGAUCCUUGCGUGCUUCAUUGUGUGCGCGGCAGGCGCGCUGCAGGAGAAGGCGGAGUCGACCACCCCGAUCCCUACCCUGUCUCCUCCGGAGGGAAACACGAGCUUCAUCGACGGUGUCACCUGGUGCGUCGCGCGGCCGGGAGUCCCCCAGGAGGACCUCCAGAACGCGCUGGACUGGGCGUGCGGCCAGGGCGCAGCCGACUGCUCGCCGCUGCAGCCGGGCGGGCAUUGCUACCAGCCCAACACGCUCCUGUUGCACGCCUCCUACGCCUUCAACAUCUUCUACCAGCAGAACGGCAAUUCCGACAUCGCCUGCAACUUCGGCGGCGCUGGAACCAUCACCAAGAGGGACCCAAGUUUCGGGCUAUGCAAGUUCCUGGCAUCUGAGACUUCUGCUGCUUCAGCGCUCGUGUUGAGGAGCAUGAGGAUGAUCUGUGCUGCGUUUCUGACCAUGCUCCAGCUCAGAGUUUUCAAAGCUGUGCGCUGA
rnacentral:rRNA from 1 species